rnacentral:piRNA from 5 species
GGUGGUCUAGUGGUUAGGAUUCGG